AAAUGAGUAGAAUGCUAGGUCUCCUCUGCACAAAUGUUAUAGAGGUAUUCCACUCUUUUAAAUAUGGAAUAAAGCUCCUCAGUGGCACAGAGUGUUUCAGCACCCAGGUGAGAUUGUGUUUUCUGCAUGCACACUUUUCAACCACUUUGAAUGUCACCUUCACACAUAGACAGAGCCCACUUCUGAGGUCCUGAAUUAAUACAUGACUUGUGUACUUAUAUCCAACAUACUGAAAGUGCUUACUCUCAUACCUAGAACCAGGACAUGUGCAGAAUUGUUAAUCCUUUUACUGAACCUCCCUGUAUUUUUGAUUGGGACAUAUGCCUUUGAAAAACAUUGAAGUAAUUUGACUCUUGUUCUUUGACCCAGCCUUCAGAUGGGAUUGUUUCAUAUAGCUGAACCAGCACCCAUGUGACUCUUUUCUCCUGCCUUGAGCUGCACACAGGGGGCAUUGUGACAUAAUGCUGGGUCUUGAACACAGGUUAUGUAAGAAUCCUUUUCUAUUUUGGUACAUUUUGAGAUGGAGUUUCAUUCUUGUUGCCCAGGCUGCAGUGCAAUGGCACGAUCUCGGCUCACCACAACCUCUGCCUCACAAGUUCAAGCAAUUCUCCUCCCUCAGCCUCCUGAGUAGCUGGGAUUAGAGGCAUGUGCCACUGCACCUGGCUAAUUUUGCAUUUUUAGUAGAAGUGGGUUUUAUCCAUGUUGGUCAGGCUGGUCUCCAACUCCUGACCUCAGGUGAUCCGCUCACCAUGGCCUCCCAAAGUGCUGGGAUUACAAGCGUGAGUCACCACACCUGGCCAUCUUGGUAUUUUUUACAGAGGGCAUUGUAACAUAUUGCUGGGCCCCACACUAAGUUUUCUGUGAAUCUUUUGUGGCCUGGCACACUUACUGUGACAUAUGGCUGCGUCAAACAUGCAGGUGAUGUAACUAUUCUGCCUGAGCCCUCUUUACAGGGAGCAUUGUGACAUAUCUCUGUGUCUGUUACCCCAGUGAUGUGACUCUCCUCUGCCUGAUUCCUGCUCACAAACAGAAUUGUGACAUUUUUGCUGGACCCAGCCUCUAGCUUAUGUGGCUCUAUUCUCCUGUCUUGGUGCUGCCCGUAGGGGACAUUGUGACAUACUUCUUGGCCAUGAACCCAGGUUAUGUGAGCCUUUCUGUGCCCUGCCCAUGUGGACAAUUGUGACAUAUUACCGAGUCCUACACCCAGGCGAUGCUACUCUCCUGUCUGGUCCUUGCCUACAGGGAACAUUGUGACAUAUCUCUUUGCCAUUCAUCCAGGUAAUGUGGGUCUUUUGGUUUUUCUUGUUUUCCCUCACAGGGGAGAUUGUGACAUACUGCUGGGCCCAGCAUUUGGUUAUGUGACUCUAUAUUCCUGUCUCGGAGUUACCCACAGAGGGCAAUGUGCCACAUCACUGGACCUUACAUCCAGGUGAUGUGAGUCUCUUUUUCUGCCUUGGCACUGCCCCACAAGGGUUACUUGAUUCUCCUGCUUGUGGUCUGCCCUCAUGGGUCAUUGUGACAUAUUGCAGGGUCCAACACCCAGGUUAUGUGACUCUCUUGCCUGGGCCAGGGGAACAGGGGUAUUGUCACAUAUCUCUGUGUCUAUCACUCAGGACUCUUUUCCUGUCUGGUGUCUGCUCACAGAGGAGAUUUUUACCUAUCACCGAGUUCAGCACUUAGCUGAUGUAACUCUUCUCUGCUUCCUAGGUUCUGCCCACAGGGAAGAUUGUGGUGAAUUACUGAACGCGAUACCUAGAUGAAGGAGAGACUAUAACAUACCUCUUGGCCCAGCACCUAGUUGAUGUAACUCUGCUCUCCUGCCUGGGCCACACCUACAGAAGAAAGAGUGACUUCUCACUGGGCCAGCACACAGGUCAUGUUAUUUUACUGCCUUGAUCCUUGUCCACAAUAAUCAUUGUACAUAGUUUUGGGCUCUUCUACUAGAAGACGUGAGUCUCCUCUUCUUCCUGGGAUCUGUCCACAGGGGGGAUUGUGACAUAUCAUUUGACCCAGCACCUAUAUGAUGUGACCAUCAUCUGAUGCCUUGGCCCUUCUCACUGGGCUGAUUGUGACAUAUAACUGGGCACAGCUUCUAGGUUAUGUGACUCUUCUCUUCCUCCUGGGUCCUACCCAUAGGAGGCAUUGUGACAUAUCUCUAAGCACUUAAACUAGGAAAUAUGACACUUUUUUCUGGGCUCUCCCCUAAGAGAGUACUGUGACGUAUUUCUGGACCCAGCACCUAGGUGAUGUUACACUUCUCUCCUACCUGUUACCUGUUACUGGCAGCAAAUCCAUAUGGGCAUGGAUCUGCAGCAACCUUAAUUCUUACCUCCUAAGAAGAAAAAACUCAACUUAGAGGCAUAAGGCAGAAGGAGAGACUGAGGAAAGUUUUAGAACAGGAGUGACAACUGUAGAACAGAAACAAAAUGAAGGAAAGUACACUUGGAAGAGGGCCAAGUGGGUGACUAAAAAGGGAAGUGCACGGUUUGACAUUUGACCUGGGGUUUUCUAUGUUGGCAUACUUCUGGGGUCUCACAUUAAUUCUCCCCAUUGCCUAACUCCUGAGAUCUUAUUGGGAAGUUGCUGAUUACCAGUUUUAGGUAAUCCACUAAUUGUCUGCUUGAGAGGAGAAGAGAUGCUGAAGUUAACAGUGGGUCCCUCUUCAUCCUUGGGGUUCUGGAAUGAAUCAGUCUUACCAUGUACCCCUAACUUUUCAUGCCCUUAUCAAGAAGCAAUGUUUAUUUGAAUCAGGUGGGCAAAGUGUUUCAAAAGUCACUGGAAAACUCAGUUCUGGGACAUAAUAGGAAUAAAAAGUAUACAGUAAGUCAUAAGAAACUGACAGAGCCAGAGUUCAAAUUGGUGCCUGUCCUGACAAUGUGCCAGCAGACACGGAAGGGUUGGAGGUCAUCUGAGCAGGUAGGGUAAGAACAAGUAUAAAUCUCAGGGGAUAUCCACAAGGGAGCCAGUGUCUUUGCUGCCAUGCAAAUGCAGUAAAAGCCAUGGAUGCUUAAAUAACAGGGAGUUUGUGUUUAAGAAGUCACAUGGCACGUGAAGUGAAAGCAAAGAGGCAGAUGUGCCCCGGAAGCAGAUAGUCCAGCAGGUGAGUAAGGCCAUUUCUGAACACACACAGGGAACACAGGAGAAUAGACAGUGCAGGUUUUGGGGAAAGAGACAAUUUUAGUAGGAACCCUAAGACAUUUCAUGGUGUUCAGCUUUAGCCCUAUUACUCUUGAGAGUCUCCUGUCCAGGAGGGCCAUAAGUGCAUCAGUUCUACUCAGCAUGGACCCCAAGGUUCUUCCCACCCCUGCAAACCAUCUGUCAGGGUGAGCAGAGAGAUAGCCCAUGGAAACAGAGCCACUUGUGGCUGAGAGGAAUCAUUCUGGGAGCUGGUUAGUAAGCCAUAGAGUGAAAGGGAAAAGAAAAUCAUAUAGAGGGGUUAGCUGCCUCUAGCCAAUGAAGGUGAGGCAUAAAGGUCUUUCACCACUAGGGGACAUAUCUGAGUCAUGCACACCAAAGCAUGUUAGCAGCAAAAGGUACCAAGUCACACAGCACCAAAACAUGUUACCAGCAGUGAAUCCGCAUGGGUACGGGUCUGUAGCAACCUCAUUUCUUGCCUCUUCAGAAGAAAAAAUUGACUGAGGGGCUUAAGGCAGAAAGAGAGACUGGGGGAAGUUUUAGAGCAGGAGUGAAAGUUUAUUAAAAAGCUUUAGAACAGGAACAAAAGGAAGGAAAGUACACUUGGAAGAGGGCCAAGCAGGUGACUUCAAAGGCAAGUGAGCGGUUUGACUUUUUGACUUUGGGUUUUAUAUGUUGGCAUACUUUUGGGGUCUUGUGUUACUUUUCCCACCUCACCCAACUCCUGAGAUCUUAUUGGGAAGCUGCUGAUCACCAGUUUCACGUGCUUUCUAUUUAGGAGACUGUCUUUCCCUGGUGCCGGUUGUCACCAAUUAUUACUUUAGAGAGACAGUUAACAACUGCCUGACCAUCACCUAAUGGCUGACUGACACUCCUGGUGUGUGUGUUGAGGGCGGAGUCCUCUCUUGCCCUGCUCAUACCUCACUGGCUACCUACUUUAACACUGCAAGCAUUGUGUAAUGUUGGUAAAGGAGUUAGAAAGAAAUUAUUUAGGCAGAUAGUGAGGGUAAAAGAGUCCUCACCAGAAUUUUUCUUCUAACAAAAAGCAGCCCAAGAAAUUUUCUUUUUCAAUCAUCAGCCUGAAAAAUUGAGCUGCAAAAACAGAUAAGCAACCUGGAAGUUUUUAUGGGGGAAUGCCAGCAGUUGUGUUAAUAGAAAAGGGCAACCUGGGGGCUGGGCAUAUCCAAAAUGGGGGCUCCAUCUUUCCUUCUUUGUGACCAUGUAUACGGUAAAGAAAUCGGCAACAUGGUACCCACCAGGCAAAGAACCCAUAUGCAUAAUAAAGAAUUAGGGUGUGGUGGCCAGCUUUUUGUUCUCUAUGCAAAUGGCACACCUGGUCCAACCAAUCUUUUGCACCCUAUGUAAAUCGGACACCACCUCCUCAAGCUUAUCUAUAAAACCUCCUGCAUUUCACCAUGGAACCAGUAACCAAUCUCUGUGGGACUCCUCUCUACUGCAGAGAGCUCUUCUCUUUCUUUGCCUAUUAAACUUCCACUCUUGACCUCAGUCUUGUGUGUCUGCAUCCUUGAUUUUCUUGGUGUAAGACAAGAAACUCUGGGUAUCACACCAGACAAUAAAGCUGCUUCAUUGUGACUCUCCUGCAUGGAUAUAUAUAUAUACACACACGG
rnacentral:lncRNA from 1 species